UAUCAUCACCGCACCAACCCCCCAAAUCCACCACUCUCACUAUAGUUGUGCAGAUUCGCCGCCGUCAUCAAAACACCCCCAAAAAAUUAAAUUCAAAAUUAUCACAGCCACCGCCAUGGCCACACCAACACCACUAUCACCACCACUACCACCAGAUCCAACAACUAAAAAAAUAAGGUUUAAAAUUUCUUAGUUUCUUCUUAGGCAUGGUAUGCAGCGCCCCGCCACUUGUCCAUCGCCG
rnacentral:lncRNA from 1 species